rnacentral:lncRNA from 1 species
UUAGAUAUUGCUAAACUGAAAAAACAAGUUUUUGAGGCAUCUCAGGCUCAUCUCACCCUAUUGCCUGGAGCUGAUAUUCUUGCUGGAGCCUCUGAUGGCCUUUCUAAUACCAAUCCUUUAAAGUGGAUUGAAACCAUAGGUGGAUCAACAAUUGCAAAUUUUAUUUUGGUUUGUGUCUGUUUAUGUUGCUUGUUUUUAGUCUACAGAUGCAGAUGGUGCCUUGGGAGAGAAACCAGACACCAUGAAUGAGCCAUAAUAGCAAUGGCAGUUAUUAAUAAAAAAAAAUCAAUAGAGGCAAAAAAGGGGAACAUGUGGGAAAGUGUUUCUGGGGUGCCAGUUGAGUUGGUCUCCCCUGUGUGAGACACCCAUGGGAAGCCAUGGGCAGCCUCUGGGGAGAAAAGUCUCCUUAUUGCUUUCAUGUCUUUAUGCCCCAAGAGCAUAACCACUCAGCAGCAUUCCACAGGUUGCUCAGGGAGACAACACUCCCUUGAAGCAGUGGAGUAUAAUCAAACAUCUUGGCUCCUCCUUAAACCCGCUCCCACCCAUUUCAGUCCUGAUAAGCUAAAGAUCUUAAGUAGUUUAGACACACGCCUUUGCUCAAGGAAAUUCACAGAAACCGCCACUGCUACACAUCUUAUGGAAUGACUCACGAGUUCUCCUUCACUGAUUAAUCCUUUUCCUCAUCCCUUCCUCCCCCUCCCAUCUGCCCUAAGAACAAAGAGCUUGUAAACCAGUAAAUUUGGCAGAGCUCAAGAGCUCUGGGCCGUGAGCAAGCCUCCGAUAUUCUGGUCCCCUGAACCCGCCUUUUAAAUGCUUAUUCUGUCUCUUUCUAACUCCUAUGUCUCCACCAGACUCAGGGUACCCACUGGGUGGUGUGGGGCUGGUUUCCCUAACAUUCCCCACCAAAUAAAGCAGCUCCAACCUUCUAGAUGGUUGCUCAGCUCAGAAGUCUUAGAGAAAUUCUGAUGCCUCUCCUCACAUUUGCUCUGUCGGCAAAUCCUGGUGUCACAAGAGGGCUCAGGAGGGUUUCUGGAUGCCAACGAGACCCCAGCCACAGCCGGUCCCCAGAUUCUUGACAUCAUCACAAGAAAGAAUUCACAGGGUUGCUUCAGCGUCCUCACAACAGGAUGGCUGACUUCCCCAAGAGAGCAGCUCAAGAGAGAGCAAGGAGAAAGACACAACAUCUUUAAUGAUCUAUGCUUGGAAGCUAUAUGUUGCCACUUUUGCAAUAUCCUACAGAUCGCUUAGCUCCAUCCAACAUGGAAAGGGAUCAGACACGGGCAUCAUUGCCAGAUGAUAAUCCCUGAUGGUCAUCUUGGAUGCUGGCCACCACAGUUACAUUUGAGAUGGUGCACAAGAAGGCUCUCGCCAGAUGCUGGUCUUGUGAUCUUGGACUUCCCAGCCUCCAGAACUAGAAGCUGGCAUCGCUUGGGGGAAGAUGUACACUGCAAACUGUCUACAGAGCUAGUUACAAUAUUUCAUCUACGUCAUGAGCUUUGGGGAUGAGCUAGAGAUGAAACUCCCCAAGGCCAGAGAAGAUGGCAGAGCCAUGAGAUGGAAGGCGCCUGGGCCGCUGAAUCACCACAUGGAAGGUCACUCAUGACAGGAUCCUCGAAGGACCAUGGUGCAAGAAAGAACAACUAAUGCAGCACCUCAACAAAGCAGGGGCUAAACACUUGAGACAUAUAACCCAGUAACUGAGAGCUCAGAUUCUAGUCCAGAUGACCAGGGUUUGAAUCCUGGCUCCAGGAUCCUAGGUAAGCUACUUCCCACCCUAUUGUUGCCUCACUUCCCUCUUCCAUAAAAGGGCAAUAAUGACUCCUAUUGAUGAUAGUGAAGGGCCAUCCGGAGCAGCCACUGCCAUUGCUCUGGCUGUGGUGGUGGGGGGCAGUUGCGGGGAACGGGCAGUGGUGGUGGGACCCCUGUGCCCCACGUGCCCAAGGCAGCCAACUGUGCUGUCCCCACCCUUGUAUGACUGGAUGGGACCCACUCCCAGGCCCAGAGCCUCUGUGACUCCCGACCCUGGCACGCAUCACCUCUCUCUGCCCCGCCGUAGCUGUGGGGAGGGCGCAGGAAGGAGGUGGAUGGUCCUCAGAGCCUGCCCCCAGGAACCUCCACUAGAGCCUGCUGCCCUAGGGGCCACUGCAAUGGGACUGGGCUGAGCCAUCCACCAGUGGGAGAGCAAUGCAGUCAGGCAUGGAGGAGUGGGCAGAGAGCGACCCAGUGAGGACCUGGGCCCCCGCCCCAGGCUGCCAGGAGGUACGGCCAGGGCUGCACGCUCCAGCAUGCUCCACAGAGUGGGUGGGAGCAGUCACAAGCGGGAGCCCUGCCUCUUCCAAAAUGGCAGGGAGGGAGCUUCCUGGGUGCAGCUGCAGCCACCUAGCUACAGCUGCAGACCCAGGCAUCUAUGCACUCUUGGGGGCGCAGGAAGGCACCCUUCCCUCCCCAGCCCCAAUCCCCCACCCCACCUUUGCUGCCUGGCUCCUCCCUGCUUUCAGCACCCACUCCUAACUCGGAGCAAAGUCAGAACUGAGCCUAGGGGGCCGGGCGCGGUGGCUCACGCCUGUAAUCCC